AAGUCGUAACAAGGUUUCCGUAGGUGAACCUGCGGAAGGAUCAUUAACACGUAUCCAACGUUAAAAACCCCGUGCAUUUUAACCCUGCUCUUCCUCAAAAAGCAAUCUCUGAUAAAUCAUAGCUAGCGAACAGUUUGAUUCAGAGACUUCUUCAAGACGUGGGGAUGGAGCGGUAGAGCAAAUAGACUUGGUCCCCGAAAGGAUAACUGAUACUUACUCAGGUCGUUGACCCUCACGGUCAACGGACAGGUCUCUGGGGCUUCGGCUCCCCAUAUAUUGUGAAAGUCGGACUUGCAAACUACAGGCCCACAGAACGUACAACUGUUAUAUUAACCCCGUAUUGUGAACGUCGGGCGUGCAAACUACAGACCCACAAACGAACAACUGUUAACAAUGGAUAACGAUGAAGAAC
rnacentral:misc_RNA from 1 species